GCCCAGCCUCGCCUCCAACUGACAGAGCACCCAAUACAAUUUUGAAUUUCUUCUUCAGAAGAAGAGAGCAGCUGUCAACGCCACAAAGCUUUCUCGUGGAUAUUGGCAUUUUAGUUGAUUAUACAUUCAUAACAUUUAAUAUGUUUGUAACCUGGUGGGUAAUCAUUUAUUCAACUGCAAGCAAUGGUUUUCAUCGAGCUUGCUAACACAGCUAGCUAGAUAGCUAACGUUAGCUCCUCCUUUAGCUUGCCAACAGCAUGCAGUGUGACUGACCAAGUGGAUCCUUCUGGUCUGGAGUCUCAGCUGCCUAUGGACAGACCCCAGCCAAUGGAAGUAGACUUUUGUAUCAUUUAGCUAGCUAGUUCCCAAUUCAAUUAAAAUGUCUUCAUGAACAUUAACCCCUUAUUUAUUCUUCAUUUUGUGUGGAAUUGUUUCACUGACUCUGUCUCUGCAUUAUCCACAGGGUAACUGUCAACUUGUGAGUCUGAAUAUGGACACUGGAGGUGAAGGAAUCUGCAUUAUGCGACCUUCCAGUGACUCCCAUGCCACAAUUCAACAAUGGAGCAAGUUAUUUGAGAAAAAAAUAAAGAUAAUUGAAAACAC